rnacentral:rRNA from 1 species
AAGUCGUAACAAGGUUUCCGUAGGUGAACCUGCGGAAGGAUCAUUGUCGAAGCCUGCAAAGCAGAACGACCCGCGAACAUGUUAAAACAAUCAUGCCAGGAUGUAUUGAGCAUCCGUUUGAUCGUCCUGGCAUACCGUUGAUGUGCCUGCCUCGUUGGCCCAGUGGGUCAUCUUGGUGGUCGCUUUGACGUAACAAAACCCAGGCACGGGAUGUGCCAAGGAACUUUAAACUGAAGAAUUGCCCAUCCCAAUGAAGUCCCGUUCGCGGUGUGCUCAUGGGGUGUGGCAUCUUUGUAAUCACAAACGACUCUCGGCAACGGAUAUCUCGGCUCACGCAUCGAUGAAGAACGUAGCAAAAUGCGAUACUUGGUGUGAAUUGCAGAAUCCCGUGAACCAUCGAGUUUUUGAACGCAAGUUGCGCCCGAAGCCAUUCGGCUGAGGGCACGUCUGCCUGGGCGUCACGCAUCGCGUCGCUCCCCCACCAUUUCCUUUUGGAUUGUUGGCUGGGAGCGGAUAUUGGCCUCCCGUUUUAACCGAGUGGUUGGCCAAAAUAAAAGCACCUCUUGACGGGCGCAAGACUAUUGGUGACAAAACCAUGAAUUUCGUUGCGUGUCUCGUCAAAAGGUUGCUUGUUAUCGACCCAACGCGUUGUCUUUUGAUGACGCUCGACCGCGACCCCAGGUCAGGCGGGACUACCCGCUGAGUUUAA